CGGUGAGUGGCAGUCUGGUCCCAGCUACAGGCUGAGGCAGGAGAAUGGCGUGAACCCGGAGGCGGAGCUUGCAGUGAGCUGAGAUCCGGCCACUGCACUCCAGUCUGGGCGACAAAGCGAGACUCUGUCUCAACAAAAAAAAAGAAAUUAUAUGAUUUUGUCCAGCUCUCUAAAUUGUCAUCUCCAAUAGGUUUAGAUGCUUCAAAUAGUAACCACAUUACUGUGAUAGGUAUUAUUAGAAAAAGUUAUUUGUUGAGUUACAACUAAGAGGAAGAAGUAACAUGAUGGAAAGUGGUUGGAGAUAGCACCCCAUUAACAUCGACAGCCAAGUCUUCUGUUUCAGAAUAUUGAUUUAUUUUGCUUUAGCUUUUGAUGCCAUCGUGAGAUUUAAGUCUUCAGUUUCAAAAGCUCAUGCUACUUAGGAGAGGUGAUUUUUGCAGCUUAAAAAAUUGCUUGUGACUGCAGUGUGUACACAGUUAAAAAGCUGUUCACUGCCCCUUUCAACCUUUUCAUUUUGAGCUUUACUAAGAGAAUGUUUUUAGGAACAGAAUUCCUGAAUGUAAUUUUUUACGUAUAAAUAAAGUUUUAUCUAUAUCUGAGAAGUUGUAGUUUUUAUUUUUGUUUUGUUUUAACAUUAUUAGCUUUUCUGAAGCAGGCAGUAUUGGUAAAGAUAAUAUUCUGCAAAGGUUUAUUCCGGCCAUCCAGAUCAUUGUAAGCUAUUGUAAACAACAACAACAACAACUUUAACUCUAGACAACUCGUUUGCCAGGUUUUCAUUAUCCUAAGGUAACUAUACAGAUAUUGUCUGUUUAUUUAGAAACACGAGACAGACAAACUGGAAAUGCUCUUGAGAGCACUGUGGCACUGGGUUAUAACCAAGAUUCCAUUGUUCUUCCUAUCACAGGACCUGUAACAGUGGGUAGGUUUUUCUGGAUUGUUUGAGUAUGAGUUUCUUUGGUUUGGUUUGGUCUCUCUACCUCCCAAAUUGAAAGUGACCAAAAGAGAUGCUUUGCAACAUAAAAACUAAGCAUUGAAUGAUAGGAAUCUGAACAUGUAGGGUCAAAAAGAGAACCUUUGCUUUCUCAGAUCAUUUCCCGAUAAUAAGUAUUUCUUGAGGAGCUUAUAUGUUUGUUCAUUUAUUCAAUAAACAUUUAUUAAAUGCCUCAGUGCAUGCUAGGUGCUAAGGACACCAUGGUGAACCAGGCAGGCAUAAUCUUCCUGCCUGGGAGAAGAUUCUGUGCUGGUCACUUCCAGGGUAUUCACAGAUAAGUAAAGCAGAUUCGUUGAUUUGUGAUUUUAUAUUCUAGUGGGAGAGCAGAAAAAGAUCUGAGUAAAAAAGAUCAAGUAAUUGCACAUUGUUGAUAGCUGUUAGAAAACAGGGUAGUGAGAGACUAGAACAAGUAGUUGAGGAUGGGCAUUCUAUCGAAUCAGGGUGAGAAGAAGUCUCUGAAGAUGUGUCAUUUAAGCUGAAACCUAAAAAAAUGAAAAGCUAGCAGUGUGAAAAGUGACUGAUCACAUAUGCAAAUGCCCUGAAGCUUUAGUUCUUUGGUGUUUGAAGAACUGCACCAGUGUGGUGGGUAUAUUGUGAGAAAUAUGAUGGCUCAGGGUUGGGUCUUCAUAGUAUCUAGUGAUACUAUGAAGCCUAUAUAGGAGCAUCUAACCCAGUCCUGGGAGGUGAAAGGAAGCUUCCUAAUGGAGAAUACUUUUUUUUUUUUUUGAGACAGAGUCUCGCUCUGUCGCCCAGACUGGAGUAUAAUGGCGCAAUCUCAGCUCACUGCACCCUC
rnacentral:lncRNA from 1 species